GAUGAACGCUGGCGGCGUGCCUAAUACAUGCAAGUCGAGCGAACAGACGAGGAGCUUGCUCCUCUGACGUUAGCGGCGGACGGGUGAGUAACACGUGGAUAACCUACCUAUAAGACUGGUAUAACUUCGGGAAACCGGAGCUAAUACCGGAUAAUAUAUUGAACCGCAUGGUUCAAUAGUGAAAGACGGUUUUGCUGUCACGUAUAGAGGGAUCCGCGCCGCAUUGGCUAGUUGGUAAGGUAACGGCUUACCAAGGGGAGGAUGCGUAGGCGACGUGAGAGGGUGAUAGGCCACACGGGAACUGAGCCACGGUCCAGACUCCUACGGGAGGCAGCAGUAGGGAAUCUUCCGCAAUGGGCGAAAGCCUGACGGAGCAACGCGGAGUGAGUGACGACGGCCUUCGGAUCGUAAAACUCUGUUACUAGGGAAGAACAAAUGUGUAAGUAACUAUGCACGUCUUGACGGUACCUAAUCAGAAAGCAACGGCUAACUACGUG
rnacentral:rRNA from 1 species